CCGGCUUUAGCUCAGUUGGUAGAGCGGAGGACUGUAGAUCCUUAGGUCGCUGGUUCGAAUCCGGCAAGCCGGA
rnacentral:tRNA from 2 species